rnacentral:tRNA from 1 species
UCCCCAGUGGCGCAAUUGGUUAGCGCACGGUACUUAUAAGCAGUACUUGUGAGUGAUGCCGGGGUUGUGAGUUCGAGCCUCACCUGGGGAA